GCAUUGAAACACUGGUUCUCAUACCAUCACCUAGUUAAGCAAUGUUGAACCUGGUCAGUACAUAGAUGGGUAACCGCUUGGGAAUACCAGGUGCUGUAAG